rnacentral:lncRNA from 1 species
UUUUUUUUUUAUUUUUUAUUUUUGCCAUGGUAUUCAGAAGUUCCUGCGGACAGGGAUCGAACCCUCACCAGGGCAGCGAUCGGAGUUGUGGGAUCCUCAACCCGUUGAGCCACACGGGAACUCCCCUGAUCGCCCUAUUUAAAACAAUGAUCUUUGUAUUCCCACCCCUCUUCUAUCAUGUGACAUAAUCUACUUACCUGUUUGCUCACUGUCUCUUAGCCCUGCUAGAAUGUAAACUCCACCGGGCCUGUUUUGUCCACUGAUGUGUCCCCAAUGCCUAGCACAGUGCUGGGCAUGUAGAACACGCUUAAUAAAAAUCUGUUGAAUGAAUAACUUGUGUUUUCAUUCCCAUGUUGCAGAUGUAGCAACUGAGGCACAGAGACCUUAAGCUACAUGCCCAAGGUCAUGCCACUAUUUAAGUACUAAGAACUAAGAUUGGAAAUGGGGUGUUGCAGCCCAUGGAAAUACAUUGCUAAUGACUCUCCUACGUGGCCAUGCUGAGCAAGCUGAGGGACUAAGAUACCAGCUCUCCCCCUGGGGAUGCAGGGUUGCUGAGGUUUGACGACGGUGUGGUGAGCCCUGUCUCUCUCUCUGUACCUUCAAUUCUCUGAGUCAAGGGAGGACUCGGUCUAAGCUACCUAUAACCGUCCCCCCACCAAGCCCUCCUGGACUCCUGCCAUGGCUAAAUGCUCUCAAUUUGGGGGUGGUUAAUCAGUCAAUCCAACAAGGUAAAGAGAAAGGGAUUAUGUAUUUACAUGAACAAGGUGCGUGAUGGUUGAUGGGUCACCCCCUCAGAUGUGGUGACGUGGCAGAGGUGAGGACAGCGUGGAGAUUGCCAUGUGGGGUAGCAUGGGUUGGCUGCUGUGGCAUGAGCAUCAGGAUACAGGAAGUGUGAUGACAUCACCAGAAUGAUGAGGGCAGUUGGGGGUAGGGGGAGAGUGACAAUGAGGGAUGGCGACAAAAGGGGUGAGCAUGACCUAAGGGAAGCCAGAGAGCGACUUAAGGAGAUGGUAACAGGAGGCAUGCGAAGGUGACACGGAGGUAUGACGACGAUUUCUGAGAAGAGUGAUAGCAAUAAAAGAGGGGUGCAGGCGACACGAGACGGCGACAACGACUUAACGGGUGGGGCGACUUCAACAGGUGCUGAUAAUGGGGGCUUAAAGCGAACGAAAUCUUGUCAAGGGUGAUGAUGGCGACAUAAGGGGAACGGUAACGAUUUAAGCAGGAUACAACAUGCGGAGGAAUGGCGACAUACAGGGACAGAGGUCGAUGUGCAGAGAAGAGAUGCAUUACAGACGAAGGAUAACACGAGGAGGACGGCUGAGGCGCCGCGCCCCCAGAUCGCACAUUACCUGCUCUCCACGUCUCCCACUCCGGGACCCAGCCCAGCACGCACCUUUCAGGCUGGAGCCCCGCCCGACCGCCCCC